rnacentral:rRNA from 1 species
UACGGAGGGGGCUAGCGUUGUUCGGAAUUACUGGGCGUAAAGCGCUCGUAGGCGGCUUUGCAAGUCAGUGGUGAAAGCCCGGAGCUCAACUCCGGAAAUGCCAUUGAAACUGUAAGACUUGAGGAUGAGAGAGGUGAGUGGAAUUCCCAGUGUAGAGGUGAAAUUCGUAGAUAUUGGGAAGAACACCGGUGGCGAAGGCGGCUCACUGGCUCAUAUCUGACGCUCAGGCGCGACAGCGUGGGGAUCAAACAGG